CUUGAUCGAGCCGAGCCACAGCGGGCUGCCGUCCUCGGGACGGUGCUGGCCGUAGGUGGCGAGCAGCGCCUGGGCCUC
rnacentral:antisense_RNA from 1 species